AACUGUUCAUCGGAAGCCUUUUGCACCAAUACCCCCGGAUCCUAUCGAUGUACAUGCAAUAAUGGUUACACAGGAAACGGGACUGUCUGUGACGAUGUCGAUGAAUGUUCUCUAAAUAUAUACACCUGUCCUUAUCCUUCAAACUGUAAAAACUCUGUUGGAUCUUAUGAAUGCUGUUUCAAUGAAAAUGGGAUUUGUCUACCAGGGAAAGGUAUCAGGUUGAAAGGACCAUUUAGUUCAAGUGGUGCUGGUCGUGUGGAUGUAUUCCAUAAUGGAGAUUGGGGAAGAGUAUGUAGUGACCGUUGGGAUAUAAAUGAUGCUCGUGUUGCAUGUCGUCAACUUGGUUACAUCGAUGCUAUUGCAGAUAUUCGCAGUAACGAUGUUUUUAGUCGUAGAAAGAUAUGGUUGGGUGAUGUUAAUUGUGCUGGAAAUGAGGACAGUGUAUUCAGUUGUUCGCAUUGGGGCUGGGGGAAACAUGACUGCGGCUACAGGGGAGAUGCUGGAGUUGCUUGUUUAGU